CACUGUCUUGAAUCCCAAAAAUCAUCAUUUGUCUCGUCCAGGUUUCUUUUGAUAUUCACUGAUUGUUAUUUUCACGAUUCUAAUUCAAAUCACAACUUUUUUCUUCAUCUUCUUUUUAUUUCUCUGUGAUUAGAUUAUAAUUUUGCUAUGAAUAUCGCCUUAUUCAACACUGCUACUUUUCUGCAAAAUCAUUGAUUCGUAUCAACCAAGUUUUCUUCUAAGAUUUAUUGAUUGUUAUUUCUGAUCAUGAUUCGAGGCGUUUCGUCUCUCCCACGUUGUUCAUGUUGUGGAAGCAUCCGGAAGAAAUGGAGAACACAAAGAUCCAAACUCUUAUAUUUCUUUAUUUUCGACUACCCCUGGGAAGUUAACGAAGGAGAUUAAACAUAUCGAUGAAGGGUUUGUAUGUGGAAGAGAAAAAAUUACUGAUUUUGUCACUUUCACUACUUCAUAUAGUUGUUGGGUCGAGAACGAUUCUAUUCAUGGAUGGACUGAAAAAGAUAUUACAACAAUUAAUGUGGAAACUGAUUCAAAAGCAGAUGAAAGGAUCACACAGGUCACAAUCGACACCAAACUUUCAACGCGUUGGUCUCUUGCAAUCAGUAAUAAAAUCGAAGAUUUUAGAUUCAAAGAUGCUGGAGGGAUGUUAUUAUAGAGGCGGAGAAGAUUCAAAUUGGCACGAAAAGUACUUCAGAUGGAUUUUCAAGACACCCUAGAGGCGGAGGAGGGUUUUGUUUUGUGGAUGGAGACGAUGAUUUUUGGCCGGUUGAUUUGAAGCAUCUGAUGAUGCUGGUUUUAGCACAGAUCUUCAUGUUCAGGUUUAAUGGGUCGGGUAGAUUUUUAUAUGUAUCCCAGUGAGCCAAGGACAAGAAAGCUAUGGGGUACCAAUUUGAAGGAUAUCAUUCUCCCACCCCAUCAAGAGAUCAACCUAUGUAUUGGAGCGAUGUGGUGAACACAACACCUAUAAUGGUGCAUACAAAGGUUUGAAUCCUGGUGGCAACAUCUGCAAAUCAUUGUAGUAGGCAUUGGUGAUGAAUGACCUGAAGAAGCUGAAGCCGGUCAAACAAUAACAACAAUUAGCAGCUACACUGGUAUAAAGGUGGUGGCUGAUCUGGUGGUGAUUUGGGAGUGUCCCAGGAUGCAUUUAAUGACCAAACGAUGACGAAGAACAUCGGUAUUGAGCUGCCAAAAUAGUGCAGCGAAUAGGACAGCAGCGAUGCGCAUUCAUGUGCAGUUUCGGGAUCAAAACAUUUGAUGCGCGGGUUUGAUGAUGUUGGUUCAUAUUAUGCAACUAAUUAAACACUACAAAGUGACGCCACUUCGAACCAUAACUUGGCGGAGAAGAUAGGUUUUAUAAUCCGGCAAAAGCGAGAUUCUUCCGUCCAAAUCAAGAUGAACUCCGUGAGCACAAAGUGACGCCACUCCGAACCAUAAUUUGGAGCUAUGAUGCAAGUGACAUUGAAAAUCCUAGAAAUAGUUUGUACGCGAUUGGUUUAUCAUGGCGAGUCACCAAGAGAGAUCUUGAGAAGCAUCUCUAUGCAGAAGGAAAGGUGGAAGACGUUCCCCUUGUCAUAGAUCCGUGGACACGGGAAUUUUGUGGGUUUGGGUUUGUAUACAUGUCGAGUGGCAAGGUAGCUAGCUGAUAGUUGUAUCAAGCAUAGUUAUUAAAGGCGCUAGGCACACUCAAGGCGCAUAGGCCUCGCCUGGGGCCUAGGCGCAAAGCGAAAAAAAAGCAAGGGCCUGAGAAAAAUAAAGCGUAUAAGGAAAAAAAACUAAAAAUAUAUUAUGUAUUAGCAAAAGAAUACUAUUCUUUAAAUAAAAUAAACAAACUUAUUAUAUAACACUUUAUAUCAUUUAUUUAGUACCAAAAGUUCUAGAAUAUUAGUGUAUUAGUGUAGAAAAGUAGUUUUCCUUGGAUAAAAGUACGGAUCUGACUAGAAUCUUGCCGGAAUUUAGAAAUUUUGGCCGGAUACUCUCCGGGAUCUAGGAAUCUCGCCGGAAUGUGCACCUGAACCAUCACCUGGAGAAUUAAAGUGCAAUUUCCUCGACUUAAGGCGCAACUGCCUCGCCUCGCCUGAAAAAUGGGCCUAGGCGCAAGAGGCGAUGGCUUUUAACAACUAUGGUAUCAAGUACUUAGAUGGAUCUGUUCUUGAUGGUCGUGUUUGAAAAACUCACAGGAGGAAGUCAGGUACCUGCAUUACUGUGAUAUCUUUUUAACACUGGUUAGUGAGUAAUUCUGAUGUACAUGAUCUGAUUAAUCGGUUGUGUCAAGAGGUUGCUUUUAGAUUUACGACAAAGGGUUAAUUAGUUUUAUAACCACAUGUGGAUAUUGUUUGUACCGCAAAGGUAAAUCACAAGUUGCAUGUUGAUUGUAAAACGGGUCAGAUUGCAGCUUACGUAAAUCUGAGAUGGCAGAUCGUUUUUUCUUGGUUGCAGGUUGCUUUUUGUUCAUAGCUGGUAACAUCUUAUAAAGAUAUACCCAAUCAUUUUAAGUUAUAGCAUAAAUAUAUAGUUUUAAAAGUCAAAAAAUAAAUAGGUUAGGUGGACCAACUCGCUAACUCGACCUCAACACAGUUCAUUCAGCUUAAUGUGGUUGUGGAAUCGACCCACGAAUCUAAGCUGGACAUCCCAAAUACGUUAAUUACAUGUCUAAGUUCUUGUCAUUAUCAUGACUUUUUAACAUUUUCCAUUCGCUUUGAUGUUAAAUAUUGUAUUAUUACAUUUUGUUUGCUUCGAUGUUAAAUUUUGUAUCAUUACAUUUUACAUUCUAUGCACUAUGCAGCAUGAACUGGAAGCAAGUACAACACAACCUAUGUUUGUUGAUUCAAGUAUCAGUGAAGUGUGCUCGCAUCCUGAAAUGUGUCCUAGCUUGGCUAUGGUCAGGUUAUAUAGAGCUGGCAUGCAACCUGUAGAAUGGGAUACUGAUGUUUUUUUACAAAGAAUGCUGAUGGCUUUUUAUUUCACUUUGGGUCAUGUGGGUGUACACAUUUUUCAUGCUCUUAUCAUGGAUUAUUUUUUUGGUGUUUUUGGAUGUAGGUUAGUGAAUUACAUAGCUCUUUUGGUGACAAUGAGCUGUUAACUAAGUGUCUUGAUGGAACUCAACUGUUUCUAAAGCCGGGUGUACAUGAUUUAUACAACCUGUGACUACAUCAAAGUUGUAUGAAACGAGCUGAUUUGCUUGCUGCUAAGAAGGAUAGGAUGGAUGCUUCAGGUGUGGCACUUGUCUUGAUUGGGCCCGGUAGCGUUGAUCAGGGGAGAGGACAUUUGGUGUUUUGAGGAAGAUUAAUCUUAUGGAUAAGGGGACUGGUGCAGUUUAUCCAUGCUGUUCUCAACCAUUCACACACUUUGAGCCUCAUUUAAUAUGCUUGUUUCUUAACCGGUUGCAAAGGAGGGUGAUGAGAAAUGGAAGCCUAUGACUGAUGAAGCCACUCUAAUAAGGGUUCAUGUUGUUCAAAACUUCAAAUCCAAUUGAGGCAAUCCAUGAACCAUUAGAAGCUGGGCUGAAACUUGCUCGAUAAGAGAUUGCUAAUCUGCAGGAUGAUAAUAAAGCAUUAGAUCGACUGAUAGUGUGAAACCAAUUGAUGUAAAUUAAUUAUAGACUGUUUUGAUUAGGAAAACAAUUUUCGUUAGGGUUUCAAAGUAGUAGUAACCAGCAAGAGAGAGGUUAUAUGGUAAGGUAGUUGGGCGGCAAGAAGGGUUACGAGAGGUUCGACUGUCAUGACACAAUGGUCAAUUGUCACAUUGAAGGUUGAACUGGGUAUCUGCUAAGCAAAACUAACUGUUAAGCCUGUGGCGUAAGCUAGAAUUGGCACCGUGGCUUCUGGAGUUACAAAGGGUAAUGCUUAUACAUACAGAUUGAUUUAAUUGUUAUCAAAUGAGAUGGCACUCUAUAUGUUGGUAAACUGUGAAGAAACGAGAAUUAAGAGAUUUCCUAUACACGACGGGAAUUCGAUCGAUAUUGGUUUGGUCCGUUAGCAAACCGAAAGAAGAAACCAAAAAAUAAAGUUUUGAGAUGCCUCAAAAGAUAUCGAUACGUGUUUUACAUCGAUCACAAAGUAUAACAAAGGCCAACACCUGGUGAAAUCAAGAGUAAUGGGAGAUUCAAGCUACACAAGCAUGAUUGAUUGUUUUAUUAAGACUUAAAAAAUGACUUAAGUUGUUAUCUUCGGUUUGCAUAAAGAAGUAAAUGAAAAUUUUGGUGUAAAUCAAAUUAGAUGUACCAACACUUGAAUAGUAUGCGUCUUUUUAUUGUAUAAAACACGUGUGUAUGUGGGAAGUGGAUGUUGAAGUUGGCACGUAAAAAGAUUCAAUUCA